AAGUCGUAACAAGGUUUCCGUAGGUGAACCUGCGGAAGGAUCAUUAACACGUAUCCAAACGUUAAAACCCCCCCCGUGAACCUUCAUCCUGCUCUUGUAACCCGCGUAGUUCGCAAUCUCUGAUAAAUCAUAGCCCGGAAAGUUGUAGUGAUUCAGAGACCUCUGGCUACGUGCGAACAUUGGAACAGUUACAAUCGAGCGGUAGUUCUAUAGGCAAUGUUUCCCCAAGCAGUCAGUGUCGGAAAGUGUCAUUGAUUGAACCAAGAUAUCCAUUGUUAACAGUUGUUCGGUUUUUUUACCCAAUGUAUUACAUUGAGCUUCACAUUAAACUGUGGGGUUAUUAGGGGGCAUGGGGACCCUUUGGCAAUGCUCCUGCCCGAGUGUAGGGUCUACAGGAAUCGUAGAAGCGCUAUCCUU
rnacentral:misc_RNA from 1 species